CCUACGGGUGGCAGCAGUGAGGAAUAUUGGUCAAUGGGCGCGAGCCUGAACCAGCCAAGUCGCGUGAGGGAAGACGGUCCUAUGGAUUGUAAACCUCUUUUGUCUGGGAGCAAAACACGCCACGCGUGGCGUUCCGAGAGUACCCUAAGAAAAAGCAUCGGCUAACUCCGUGCCAGCCGCCGCGGUAAUACGGAGUAUGCGAGCGUUAUCCGGAUUUAUUGGGUUUAAAGGGUGCGCAGGCGGAAGAUCAAGUCAGCGGUAAAAUUGAGAGGCUCACCCUCUUCGAGCCGUUGAAACUGGUUGUCUUGAGUGAGUGAGAAGUAUGCGGAAUGCGUGGUGUAGCGGUGAAAUGCAUAGAUAUCACGCAGAACUCCGAUUGCGAAGGCAGCAUACCGGCGCGCAACUGACGCUCAUGCACGAAAGUGUGGGUAUCGAACAGGAUUAGAUACCCCAGUAGUC
rnacentral:rRNA from 1 species